UGUUGCAGUUAAAAGCUCGUAGUUGGAUCUAGGGACGCGCAUUUCAAGCGCCCGUGUCGUCGGGUCAAACCGGCGACUGCGUUGGCGUUGCGGGCUCGGUCCGUCGGUGGACCCUCGUGGUCUUAAUCGGCGUGUCAACCGGCCCGCCCGUCCCCUCCUUCUGGAUUCCCGUUCCUGCUAUUGAGUUAGUGGGGACGUCACAGGGGGCUCAUCGUCGUCAUGCAAAUGGCGGCGGUGGGUCCCUGGGGCCCAGAUCGUUUACCGUGAAAAAAUUAGAGUGUUCAAAGCAGGCAGAUCCAAUUUUCUGCCACCGAAUACAUUAGCAUGGGAUAAUGGAAUAGGACCCUGUCCUCCUAUUUUCAGUUGGUUUUGGCAGCGCGAGGACUAGGGUAAUGAUUAAUAGGGAUAGUUGGGGGCAUUAAUAUUUAAUUGUCAGAGGUGAAAUUCUUGGAUUUAUGAAAGAUUAACUUCUGCGAAAGCAUCUGCCAAGGAUGUUUUCAUUAAUCAAGAACGAAAGUUAGGGGAUCGAAGACGAUCAGAUACCGUCGUAGUCUUAACCAUAAACGAUGCCGACCAGCGAUUAGGAGACGUUGAAUACAAAACACCACCAUCGGCGCGGUCGUCCUUGGCGUCUCUGUCCCUUUCAACGGGGGCAGGCGCGAGGGCGGUUUAGCCCGGUGGCACCGGUGAAUGACUCCCCUAGCAGCUUGUGAGAAAUCAUAAGUCUUUGGGUUCCGGGGGGAGUAUGGUCGCAAGGCUGAAACUUAAAGGAAUUGACGGAAGGGC
rnacentral:rRNA from 1 species